rnacentral:rRNA from 1 species
AUUGAACGCUGGCGGCAGGUUUAACACAUGCAAGUCGAGCGGUAACAGAACUAGCUUGCUAGUUGCUGACGAGCGGCGGACGGGUGAGUAACGCGUAGGAAACUGCCUGGUAGUGGGGGACAACAGUUGGAAACGACUGCUAAUACCGCAUACGCCCUACGGGGGAAAGCAGGGGAUCUUCGGACCUUGCGCUAUCAGAUGUGCCUGCGUCGGAUUAGCUAGUUGGUGGGGUAAUGGCCUACCAAGGCGACGAUCCGUAGCUGGUCUGAGAGGAUGAUCAGCCACACUGGGACUGAGACACGGCCCAG